AAGUCGUAACAAGGUCUCCGUAGNNGAACCUGCGGAGGGAUCAUUAAAAAGAUGGGUCCUCUGGGACCCUUCAUCCACAAACCUGCGGAAGUGAGACGUGCUUCGGCGCCUCUGGNCGUCGAGUCUAUGCUGUUUAGCUUUGUGUCUGAAGAAAAACAAAAUUUUAAAACUUUCAACAAAGGAUCUCUUGGCUCUCGUAUCGAUGAAGAACGCAGCAAAGNNCGAAAUGUAAUGUGAAUUGCAGAACAUUGUGAAUCAUCGAAUCUUUGAACGCACAUUGCGCCUCCCGUAAAUGGGAGGCAUGCCUGUCUGAGCGUCAUUUAAAACCAUAACCUUUGGGUUGUAUUGGGACUCACCCAUGGGUGUCUCCUCAAAGUCAUCGUGUCUAAAAGCGUACGAGUUCCAUUAGGACAGAACGUUUGAGGNCCCUAAACUCUCUGACUUGACCUCAGAUCAGGUAGGACUACCGCCUGAACUUAAGCAUAUCAAUAAGGCGAGGAACAGAAACCAACAGGNAUUCCCUAGUAGUGGCGAAUGAACCGGGAAAAGCUCAAGUUUGAAAUCUGGUAUCAACCAGAGUUGUAAGCUGAAGAGGCAUCGACCGAUGAUGGUCCAGGCUCAAUGAUCCUUGGAAUAGGCAUGUCAUAGAGGGUGAAAAUCCCGUCUGUGGCUUGAGUGCCGUCGUCUUUGUGUCGUGUCCUCGAAGAGUCGGGUUGUUUGGGAAUGCAGCUCAAAAUGGGUGGUAAGUUUCAUCUAAGGCUAAAUAUNGGCGAGAGACCGAUAGCAAACAAGUAGAGUGAUCGAAAGAUGAUANGUAUCUUGAAAANGNAAGUGAAACAGUACGUGAAAUUGUUGAANNGGAAGCGUUNGGCAUCAGCCCAUGACGUCCAUCAAUCAUGGGACUUCUGUCCUGUGAAAUUGUUGGGUGUUGGGCCAGCNUNNGCUUUNCCUGCCGGAGAAAGGUUUUGGGAAUGUGACNNCCCUCGGGGUGCGUUAUAACCCUUGACGUCAUACGGUGGGUGUGGCCGAGGUCUGCGGUUUAUCCAAGGACGCUGGCGUAAUGGUUCCAAGCGACCCGUCUUGAAACACGGACC
rnacentral:rRNA from 1 species